GCUGAAGAAAAAGUGUGUAAAAGAGAAGAGAGGUCCAAACUGAAAUCUGAGGAGCCUCAACAUUCAGAACUCAACUGGGCGCUGUGGCUCAAGCCUGUAAUCCCAGCACUUUGGGAGGACGAGGCAGGCAGAACACCUGAGGUGAGAAGUUUGAGACCAGCCUGGCCAACAUGGCCAAACCUUGUCUCUACUGAAAAUAUAAAAAUUAGCCAGGCAUGGUGGCGAGCGCCUGUAAUCCCACCUACUCUGGAGGCUGAGGCAGAAGAAUCUCUUGAACCUGGAAGGCGGAGGUUGCAGUGAGCCGAGAUCACACCACUGCCCUCCAGCCUGGGCGACAGAACAAGACUCCGUGUCAGAAAAAAAAAAAGAAAAGAAAAGAAAAAGAAAAAGAAAAGAACUCGGUGGAGCACAAGUAGCUGAGUAAUGCCCCAGAAGCCGGCAUCAUUGUUGGACAGCUCAGAUGUUCAGGAUGUUUCAUUUUGAGCCUACCUCAUUGGAAUUUCAAAAUAUUGGCCUCUUUGGAGCAAUACAGAGCAAGUCUGUUCCUUCAAGUAGAUGAAAAGCUCCCUGCAUGUCUUCCAUUGGACUUCUCCCCUUUAGCUUAAAAAUAUCCACAGUCCUGAAACAUGGCUCAGAAGCAGAUAUUACCCAAACCCUACUCUUAAAGCUCGGCCAGCCAGCCACAUGCAGGACCCUGAAGCAAAUAAGAGGCAGUGACCUGAGAAGCUACGUAUUGACACGGCGCUACCACGGGUGGAGGAGCCUGCAUUGCUGAAUCACAGGAUGAAGGCGAAUCCCUGCCAGCCUCCAUCCAUCUCUGGGGUGCUUAGCAGAAUCCUCAGCUCACAAGAUGAAUAAAUGCAGACUAAAUGAUGCACAAAUAAUCUUCACACACAACCAUCAACACAUGGAAAGACUGCAGGACGGCCAGAUCCCAAGCUAACAAACAGGGGAAGAUGAUGUUUCAAAUGAUCAUCUGAAUGCUGGGUUUCCACCUUCCACCAGGAAGUCAUAUGGUAAAAAGAAAAAAAAUGGCAUUAUGAUACAAACAGAAAAUGUAACAGUGGAGUGCAGAAAAUACAAAAAAAAGGAAAAAAUAAAUAGAAAAUCUUCAAAGAGGCAAUCUGUUUAAAUCUUCAAGAACUGGAAACAGUAAAAGUGAACAGGUUUUUAUUGAGCAUGUCAAUAAAAUGUUUGCAUAAGACUUUACAAGUGCUUUAUUUCAUGAGGUUUUUAUUAUUGAUCAAAGCAACGAAAAUGAACGGGAAAUUCAUUCUCAUCAAAUCUACAACUUGGGAGGAGGUCCGAUGAAAUCCCUGGAAGCUCACAUUUUUUAUAAAUGAAGAGUUAAUUACCGGUGGGAACAAUGAGAACCUCUGUGGUUCUUCCUGAUGCUUGGAUCCUCCCAGACCUCUGUUUCCAGUCUCCUUCUCCACAACCUGGCCUAUGCGAUGCAAGUGGUCUAACUGAUCUCCGCCUAGGGAAGGAUCCUUCGGCAACUUGCCGACAAGAGAAGCAGCGAUGCCCGAGGCAGGUCCAAAGGAGCACUGACUGCGUGGGAUUGAUUACACUGGAGGAACAAAAGGUCCUGUGGCUACACAAGUUUGAAAAGCAGAAGGUACAAUCAUUGUAUUUCUGGCAGACUUUUCAAAGACUUUAAUAUAUGAAUCCCUCAUAUGAAUCUCCUGGAGGAUUAUAUAAUAGGCAGAUCUCCCAGCCAUUUUCACUGAACAGUUCUUAGAAUUGGUAUCCUUGAAAAAUUUCACCUAACCACUCAAUAUGGUAGCCACUAGUCCUGGGUGGCUAUUGAGCACCUGAAAUUUGCCUAGUCUGAAUUAAGACACAUUCUAAGAAUAAAGCACACUGUAUUUCAAAGGCAGUACAAAAAUAAAAAAGAAUGUAAGCUGUCUCAAUAAUAAUUUUUGUAUUGAAUACGUGUUGAAAUGAUGUUAUUUUUGAUAUAUUGAGUGAAAUAAAUUGUAUUGC
rnacentral:lncRNA from 1 species